rfam:Paenibacillus sp. MAEPY2 contig57, whole genome shotgun sequence.
UGACCACUUCUCCAAAGGAAGUUAAGGCCAUACGGACAGCCGGGUCAAACGCCGA